ACUGGUUAGGGGACCGCGGCGCUGCAGCCGCCAUAUUAUUGGCGGUUAUGUUUCAUCAACAAUCCAAUCCAAUCCAAUAAUUCCAGGGCCGAGGGUUGCGGCAAAAUCAGACUUUUGGACGAGGGCUGCAGCCAGCUUCACGUAAAUGUUUAAGGUGGGACUGUAAACAUGUUCAUACAGGAGCGCUACACUACACUCCUGUACUACCCUCCAGGCCUAUAGCCUACAGUUACAAGUGGCAGGCUGAAAAAUCGCGAGAAGCCAAGAUCUGUAAAAGGGAUGAGGCUUAAUCAACUACUGGAAAAUGAAGAUGCCUUAAGCUAUUAAAAAUAGAGAUAUACAACUCUAUAUUUCAACACUACCCCCUCCCAAAAAAAAAAUUGUAGUAA